rnacentral:rRNA from 1 species
GUGCAUGGUUGUCGUCAGCUCGUGUCGUGAGAUGUUGGGUUAAGUCCCGCAACGAGCGCAACCCCUAUUGUUAGUUGCCAUCAUUCAGUUGGGCACUCUAGCGAGACUGCCGGUAAUAAACCGGAGGAAGUGGGGAUGACGUCAAAUCAUCAUGCCCCUUAUGACCUGGGCUACACACGUGCUACAAUGGUUGGUACAACGAGUUGCGAGUCGGUGACGGCGAGCUAAUCUCUUAAAGCCAAUCUCAGUUCGGAUUGUAGGCUGCAACUCGCCUACAUGAAGUCGGAAUCGCUAGUAAUCGCGGAUCAGCACGCCGCGGUCGAAUACGUUCCGGGCCUU